AUUCUCUGUGUUUAAAGGCUGGAAGGAGAAAAGAAGAGCCUGCUUUUAGAAAAAGCUCAACCCCAAAAAAGCAGGCUGUUCUUUUCUCCUUCUGGCCUUUAAACACAGAGAAUUAA